CCCUUCUGUCUGCCGACCUGCCUGUAUUUGGGAGAAGGGACCCGCCCACCUUAAUAAAGACUGGACCUUCUCUCUUCCAAUCCAGACAAAAGAAGAGGACGACAGAUCCGCGGCGGCGCGCACUGAGCAGAGCAUCUGAGCACCUUGGAGACUCCACGGGUUUGAUCCGACGCGCAAGAACGCACCGGCACAUCGACACACACGCCCCCAGGUCCACCUGAAACAUCCAAGGCGGUUCAUUGUCCUGUUUGAAGGCAGAGGAAAGAGAGUUUGAGACCCGGUUCAAUCGCAGCCAGAACACCGUGUUCCCAUGAUGUCAUACCUGUGGAUUCUGCUAUUAGGAAGCCUGCUGGCUGCAAGCGCCAAGGCACAAGAUGUAGACCCAGCAGAGGACGCAGCAGCUUCUGUAACUACGGCCCCUGAAGUAGACGCAGCACCAGAGGCUAAGGAAGAACCUGCCGCUGACGAGAAAACUGACAAUGCACCCGAGGAAACACCAGCAUUGACAGUCGAUCCUGAGCCCGUUGAUGAGAAUCGAGCCGAUGAAUUUGAAAUUGACGAAGCAGUGACUCCUGCUCCAGGAGACACAGAGGCGGAAGCACCUGCGACAACACAAGAGCCUGCAGCUGAGCCAGAGGUUAAGGAUCCUAAUGCUGAGGAAGCUACUGGAGAGGAGGAAACUACCCCAAGCACUGUUGCACCACCAGCUCAGGAGGAGAUUGAACCUGAAGCCACACCAGCAGCAGAUGUAGAUGUAGCAGAUAAUAAGGAAAACCCAACAGAUCCUGCUGCUGACGCACAAACAACAAACACCCCCGUCCACGUCCACGUCCCUACAAUUGAAGUGAAUGCUAUUGUUCCUGUGGUGGAAGGAGAUGUAAGCUUUAACUUGGAUGACGCUCUGGAUUCAAACCAAGCAGCAGACAACUCAGGAAAAAGCCGCAGUUUUGAAUCUGGGGCACAUGCUGCAGGCGCCAAAGGAGAUGAAGCCAAACCUGAAGCACAAGAGUCCAGCUCCGGGUCUGUAGUAGGCAUCCUCUGUGCAGUUGCUGUGGCUGUAGUAGGAGCAAUCGUUGGAUACUUCACCUAUCAGCAUAAGAAGCUGUGCUUCAAAAACAGACAAGAAGCGGAUCCAGAAGCUGCACGCAAAGCUGAUACCACAGAGGUGCAGUCAGAUCCCCAGGUCCUUAGCAACCUGCUAAACUCCGCCUAGAUCAGCAAUGAUCACAUGACAGCCUGGACCAACCACCGGCAAACAAAGCGGCAACAAUCUCACUGUCAGGCUCUACCUUCUGCAGAGCUAAAUUACUGUGAGGCCCCACUGUAGGGCUCUGUGUGUGUGUGUGCGUGUGUGUGUGCGUGUGUGCGUCCGUCUGCACUUGUGUGUUCAGUCUUGUGUGUGUGCAUAUAUGUUGGGAGUAAAUAUAUGUGAAUCUUGGGGGUUUAAUGAUUGUUAAAACAUAGGAAUUAAAUUAAAACUUGGACUAACUUUCCACUUUAAACCAAAUCCAAACAUUUUUUCAAAGAGUGGACAUGAAAGAGAUUCAAUCUCAAAUUAACCAUCAAAUGGCUAAAUUAUAGAAAUACCUUUUUUUUAUAUGGAUACUAUCUAGUUCUAGUAAUUCAAUGUGAAAAUAAACCAGUGACAGUUAUUGAUGUUGUAGAGGUUUAACUUUGUACUGAAUUCUUAAAAGUAGAUUUUGUUUUCUGCUAAUUCUGUCAUUGUUUGAGCCAUCAAUAUGGUUUUGAAAAUCCACUGGCAACAGUCACUUAAGUAAAACAUAUUUUUCUUUGUGUAAUUGUCUGCAGUAAAAAUGCAGACUAGAUGGUGGCUUCAAUAACUACCACUGUAUUUACUGGUCAGGAAGAAUAGUUUAGGACUAUAAUCCUAGGAUUCAUGGUCCUAUGUGUGUUUGGCCACUGAUGUCACUGUAUGUGUGUGUUUGUGUUUGUGUUUGUGUGUGUGUGUCUUUUUUUAGUUGGUGAAGGGGCUUAGUUUUAAAUCCUGUUGGGGGACUGACCACUUCUCCUCACUCAGUUCAAUAAAUCAGAGUAAAAUUUCCAAUUAAACACAAAAAAAUCCAAAUGAUACAAAAAUAUAUUUUAAAUUGAUUAAACUAUUAAAAUGCACAUAAAUAUUUUGACAAUCUUAUAUGAACAUUUAAAAUGAUAUAUAUACAUUUUAAAAAUGUGCUGAAGUGAGUUGAAGUGAAGUCCAGCCCAAUCCAGUUUCUGUCAAUGGAUGAAUGAUCACCUGACAUGGACAAAUUCAAAGCGGUCAUGUAGUAACGUAUUAGACAUUGUUCUGAUGUAGUAUGUGUCCGUCUAGUUGUGAUGCAGUAAUUUCUCCUCUAUAGUGCCUUUCACUGACACAGCCUGGCUUGACCAAUCUACCGACACACAGGGAAAAGAACAAUAAAAGUGAAAACAGGCAAAAUAGUAGUUGAAUGUAUCAAAAACAUACUAGACAAUUGACGAAUGUAUGAUCUUAAUUGAUUCAUAAUCAUUUUAGUGGUUGAAAAGCCUCACCCUGAACUGCUUGUGUAUGUGAAACUGUUACAUUAUUGUAACAGCUGCUGUAUAUCUGUUUGCAGUUUUAUUUUAUUUAACUAAUAUUGCAUUCCAAACUCUUUAAACAGCCUCACAUUUCAGCAGUAAAAUCCUCAUUGUGUGUCUCUUUAUUUGAGCAAGCCAGUUGCUGUCACAGUAUUUUUGUAUCAUUCAUAUUUCCAUGUUAAAAACACCAUUCACCUGUGAUUUUUUAUAUGAAUUUUACAUUUAGCAGCAGUCAACUUGUUUGCUGUGGUAUUUUGUGAUUAUUAUAGUGAAAUAGGCCCAGAAACAGCACUACAGCAUUAAAAAAGAAAAGCCUAACAUUUCUUUUUUUGCGGCUGUAGCACAACACAUAUUAACUUCUGAAUGUCUUUUUGUUGCCUUGCAGUUUUGUACUUGCUCUGCUCCUUUUAAACCUUGACAUAGGGUUAUAAAGUUUGUAUAGUGCUGCAGCAGUUUAUGUAAAGUGUGUUACUUGUAAAGCACCAUAUAGCUGCAAUACAGGACAGAGACUGUUGCUAACAGCCUAGCCUCAAGAUGAGAAAUAUAAUAGUCUGUGAUGUCACUUAUCGACUAAUCCUACUGUGUAAACUGUGGGCUGGACGCAGGGCCAAAGAUCUGUUUAUAAUGCCUUUAUCUUGUAAUCUGUGAUAGACUGAGUUUCUCUUGACACAUUGGAACCAAGUGGAUAGUGUGUCUGAAAUCUCUUACUGCAUCUGCUACAAUGGCAUGGAGUGAUAUUGCACAAAAUGCUCAAUAAAUAACAGUACAAGCUUUCAGAUAUAGUCACUGAUGCCUUCAAAACAAAACAUCCUCCUUUUUAAUGCAGUACUCACCUCCUCCUUUGUGCACUCCAAUAAGUGCUAUAGGAAUCAAACAUUAUGGUCUACUUUACAUUAAGCUCCAAGCUGUCACAUUCCUUGUAAGCAAACUAUUGAAGCAUUGCAUCCAAACCAGAAUGUAAAGCCAGGGACAUUGUAGACUUAUUGGGUCCUGAAGUGCACUUUCCAGAUAAUGCUAAGGCAUCAAUCGUGGCACAAAGACAGUGCUGACCAGUCCUGCCUUAUAACGCUUCUUGACUAUUCCAGAGAGGAAAACGAACAAAAUGUCAUCAUCAGAAAGUAAACAAGCAGAGAUGUUUUGCAGGUGAUUUUAAUAGCACAAUCUCUAUGGGAGAAGCACUUUCCUAUCCUGUAUACAUCUUGAUUUGAUAAACAUAUUUAGACAAUUCAUUUUUGAUUUAGACUAGUGUCUCCUUUUUAUUUAAAUACUCAGUUUUUAUUUUGUGUAGGAACUUUUUCUUUCUUUUUUGUCAUCUGGCACUUGUGUUGUUCUUCUGGAAUUGUGUAAAUAAUGUUUGAGGAGUCAAUUAAACCGUUUUCGUGGGAGUUGGAGUUUCAUUUCCCUGAUAACUAUUUGUGUCUGGUAUGUGUGCAUGUAACACAGUAGGCCAUAAGGACUGAUGUCAGGGUCACUGAUAAAGCUCCGAUAAAGGCUGUAUUUUUACAGUUAGGAUAUAAACAAUGCUUACAUAAUUUAUCAUUUUGAUUGAGAAACACCUUAAUGUAAAGAGAGACAGAGCUACACGCAACUGCAC
rnacentral:lncRNA from 1 species